rnacentral:rRNA from 1 species
GACGAACGCUGGCGGCGUGCUUAACACAUGCAAGUCGAACGGUAAGGCCCCUUCGGGGGUACACGAGUGGCGAACGGGUGAGUAACACGUGAGCAACCUGCCCUUGACUCCGGGAUAACAGUUGGAAACAGCUGCUAAUACCGGAUACGACCUUCGAUGACAUCAUCUGGAGGUGGAAAGCGCUUUAGCGGUCAAGGAUGGGCUCGCGGCCUAUCAGCUUGUUGGUGAGGUAACGGCUCACCAAGGCUUCGACGGGUAGCCGGCCUGAGAGGGCGACCGGCCACACUGGGACUGAGAUACGGCCCAGACUCCUACGGGAGGCAGCAGUGGGGAAUAUUGCACAAUGGGCGCAAGCCUGAUGCAGCAACGCCGCGUGCGGGAUGACGGCCUUCGGGUUGUAAACCGCUUUCAGUUCCGACGAAGCGCAAGUGACGGUAGGAACAGAAGAAGGACCGGCCAACUACGUGCCAGCAGCCGCGGUGAUACGUAGGGUCCGAGCGUUGUCCGGAAUUAUUGGGCGUAAAGGGCUUGUAGGCGGUUUGUCACGUCGGAAGUGAAAACUCAGGGCUCAACCCUGAGCCUGCUUCCGAUACGGGCAAACUAGAGGGAUGCAGGGGAGAAUGGAAUUCCUGGUGGAGCGGUGGAAUGCGCAGAUAUCAGGAGGAACACCGGUGGCGAAGGCGGUUCUCUGGGCAUUUCCUGACGCUGAGAAGCGAAAGCGUGGGGAGCAAACAGGCUUAGAUACCCUGGUAGUCCACGCCGUAAACGGUGGGCACUAGGUGUGGGGAACAUUCCACGUUCUCCGUGCCGAAGCUAACGCAU